AGAGUUUGAUCCUGGCUCAGGAUGAACGCUGGCGGUAUGCCUAACACAUGCAAGUCGUACGAGAGUUUUUAACUCUAGUGGCGGACGGGUGAGUAACACGUGAGAAUUUGCCUUUAGGAGGGGGAUAACAAUUGGAAACGAAUGCUAAUACCCCAUAUGCUUUCGAGUGAAAUGGAUUUAUAUUUAUCCGCCUAGAGAGAAGCUCGCGGCUGAUUAGCUUGUUGGUAAGGUAAGAGCUUACCAAGGCGACGAUCAGUAUCUGGUUUGAGAGGACGAUCAGACACACUGGAACUGAGACACGGUCCAGACUCCUACGGGAGGCAGCAGUGGGGAAUUUUCCGCAAUGGGCGAAAGCCUGACGGAGCAAUACCGCGUGAGGGAAGACUGCCUAUGGGUUGUAAACCUCUUUUUUCAGGGAGGAAUCAAUGACGUGUACCUGAAGAAUAAGCAUCGCUAACU
rnacentral:rRNA from 1 species